AUUGAACGCUGGCGGCAUGCCUUACACAUGCAAGUCGAACGGUAACGGGCCUUCGGGUGCCGACGAGUGGCGAACGGGUGAGUAAUGCAUCGGAACGUACCUUUCAGUGGGGGAUAACGUAGCGAAAGUUACGCUAAUACCGCAUAUUCUGUGAGCAGGAAAGCAGGGGAUCGCAAGACCUUGCGCUGAUUGAGCGGCCGAUGUCAGAUUAGCUAGUUGGUGGGGUAAAGGCUCACCAAGGCUACGAUCUGUAGCGGGUCUGAGAGGAUGAUCCGCAGGACUGGGACUGAGCCACGGCCCAGACUCCUACGGGAUGCAGCAGUGGGGAAUUUUGGACAAUGGGCGAAAGCCUGAUUCAGCCAUGCCGCGUGAGUGAAGAAGGCCUUAGGGUUGUAAAGCACUUUUAUCGGGAGCGAAAAGCGGACGGUGAAUACCCGUCCGUGCUGACGGUACCCGAGGAAUAAGCACCGGCUAACUUCGUGCCAGCAGCCGCCGUAACAC
rnacentral:rRNA from 1 species